CCUACGGGAGGCAGCAGUGGGGAAUAUUGCACAAUGGGGGAAACCCUGAUGCAGCAACGCCGCGUGAGCGAUGAAGGCCUUCGGGUCGUAAAGCGCUGUCCUAAGGGAAGAAGCAUGACGGUACCUUAGGAGGAAGCCCCGGCGAACUACGUGCCAGCAGCCGCGGUAAUACGUAGGGGGCGAGAGUUAUCCGGAAUGACUGGGCGUAAAGGGUGCGGAGGCGGCCGAUUAAGCCAGGGGUGAAAGGCGAUGGCUCAACCGUAGUAAGACCUUGGAACUGAUUGGCUUGGGUGCAGGAGGGGAGAGGGGAAUUCCUAGUGUAGCGGUGAAAUGAGUAGAGAUAAGGAAGAAGACCAGAGGAGAAGACGGCUUGAAGGACUGUAACAGACGCUGAGGCACGAAAGAGUGGGGAGCGAACAGGAUGAGAUACCCUAGUAGUC
rnacentral:rRNA from 1 species